rnacentral:rRNA from 1 species
ACUCCUACGGGAGGCAGCAGUGGGGAAUAUUGCACAAUGGGCGCAAGCCUGAUGCAGCAACGCCGCGUGAGUGAUGAAGGCCUUCGGUCGUAAAGCUCUGUCCUCAAGGAAGAAUAAAUGACGGUACUUGAGGAGGAAGCCCGGCUAACUACGUGCCAGCAGCCGCGGUAAUACGUAGGGGGCAAGCGUUAUCCGGAAUCACUGGGGCGUAAAGGGUGCGUAGGCGGUUUUCAAGUCAGAAGUGAAAGGCUAUGGCUCAACCAUAGUAAGCUUUUGAAACUGUUAAACUUGAGUGCAGGAGAGGAAAGUGGAAUUCCUAGUGUAGAGGUGAAAUUCGUAGAUAUUAGGAGGAACACCAGUGGCGAAGGCGACUUUCUGGACUGUAACUGACGCUGAGGCACGAAAGCGUGGGGAGCGGAACAGGAUUAGAUACCCUGGUAGCACAGAG